UACAACUGGAGCUGCGACGACCUGA
rnacentral:piRNA from 2 species